rnacentral:rRNA from 1 species
ACUUUUAACAACAGAUCUCUUAGUUCUAGCAUUAAUAAAGAACGCAGCGAAAUGCAAUAAGUAGUGUGAAUUACAGAAUUUAGUAAAUUAUUAAAUCUUUAAACGCACAUUACGCCCCUUAGUAUUCUAUAGGGCAUGCCUAUUUAAGCGUUAUUUGUACCCUUAAGCUCUGCUUAGUGUUAGGUGUUUGUUCUACUUAUGACUUGCCUUAAAACAAUUAGUAGCUAGCAUAUUAGCCUAGAGUGUAGCACAUUUUACGCCUCUUAUUAUAGUUGUUAGCAUCUAUUAAGAUACUUUUUAAGCUCUUAACCUUAGAUUAGGUAGGGAUACCUGCUAAACUUAAGUAUAUCUAAUAAGCGGAGGAAAAGAAACUAACAGGGAUUGCCCUAGUAACGGCGAGUAAAGUGGCAACAGCUUAAAUUUAAAAUCUAGCUCUUUUAGGGUCUAAGUUGUAAUUUAUAGAGGGCGCUUUAGCGUUAGUAGUAGUCUAAGUUCCUUAGAACAGGACGUUACAGAGGGUAAGAAUCCUGUACGUAGUCGCUAGCCUUCGCCGUGUAAAGCCCCUUUAAUAAGUUAAGUUAUUUAGGAAUAUAGCUCUAAAUAGGAGGUAAAUUUCUUCUAAAGCUAAAUACUAGCUAGAGACUAAUAGCGCAUAAGUAGAGUAAUUAAAAGAUAAAAAGCACUUUAGAAAGAGAGUUAAAUAGCACGUGAAAUUGUUAAAAGGGAAGCGCUUAUAGCUAGACUUGCCUAUAGUUGCUUAUCUAGGCUUUUGUCUAGUGCACUCUUCUAUAGGCAGGCUAGUAUUAGUUUAGGCAGUUAGAUAAAGGUCUCUAUUACGUACCUCCCUUUAGGGAGGCCUUAUAGGGGAGACGACAUGCAACUAGCCUAGACUAAGGUCCGCGCAUCUGCUAGGAUGCUAGCGUAAUGGCUAUAAGCGGCCCGUCUUAAAAUAUGGACCAAGGAGUCUAAUAUCUAUACAAGUAUUUAGGUGUUAAGCCUAGACGCGUAAUAAAAGUAAAUAGAGGUAGGAACCCUUUUAGGGUGCACUAUUAACCAAUCCUAAUAUCUUUAGAAGGAUUUAAGUAAGAGCAUAGCUAUUAGGACCUAAAAGAUAGUAAACUAUGCUUAAAUAGGGUAAAGCUAGAGGAAACUCUAGUAGAGGCUCGCAGUGGUUCUAACGUGCAAAUUAAUUAUUAAAUUUAGGUAUAGGGGCGAAAGACUAAUUAAACUAUCUAGUAGCUAGUUCCUACUAAAGUUUCCCUUAGGAUAGUAGUAACGUAUUUAGUUUUAUAAGGUAAAGCAAAUAAUUAGAGGCCUAGGGGUUAAAACAACCUUUACCUAUUCUUAAACUUUAAAUAUAUAAGAAGUCCUUAUUACUUAAUUAAACGUGGACACUUAAAUGUACUGUUACUAGUAGGCUAUUUUUAGUAAGUAGAACUAGCAAUACGGGAUAAACCAAACGCAGGGUUAAGGUGCUAGAAUACACGCUUAUUAGACACCACAAAAGGUGUUAGUUUAUCUAGACAGCAGGAUAGUAGCUAUAGAAGUUAGAAUCUACUAAGGAGUGUGUAAUAACUUACCUGCUAAAUAAACUAGCCCUAAAAAUAGAUGGCGCUUAAGCGUGUUACCUAUACCCUGCUGCUAGGGCAAGAUUUAAGCCCUAGCAAGUAGGCAGGCGUAGAGGCUCGUAACGAAGCCUUAGGGGUAACCCUAGGUAGAAUAGCCUCUAGUGCAGAUCUUGGUAGUAGUAGCAAAUACUUAAAUAAGAACUUUAAGGACUAAAGUAGGGAAAGGUUCCGUGUGAAUAGUAGUUAGAUAUAGGUUAGUUAAUCCUAAGAGAUAGGGUAAUUCUAUUUUAAUAUUAGUGCUUACGCCGCGCCCUUAAAAGGGAAGCUAGUUAAUAUUCUAGCACCUAGAUGUAGAUUCUCCGCAGCAACGUAACUAAGAGCAGAGACCUUAGCAGGAGCCCUAAGAAGAGUUCUCUUUUCUUCUUAAUAGUCUAUUACCCUAAAAUUAGUUUAUCUAGAGCUAGGGUUUAAUAGCUAGAAGAGUGCUGCACUUUUACAGCGUUUAGUGCGCUCCUAACAAGCCUUAAAAAUCUACUUAAAGAAAUAGUUUUUACGCUAGGUCGUACUUAUAACUAUAGCAGGUCUCUAAGGUAAAAAGCCUCUAGUUAAUAGAACAAUAUAGAUAAGGGAAGUUAGUAAAAUAGAUCUAUAACUUUAGGAAAAGGAUUAGCUCUAAGGGUUAGGUACGUUGGGCCUUAGGGAGAAGCCUCUAGCGUAGAAGGGCACUAACUGCAAGGUAGGCGCCUCUUAGCGCUAGGGUGCAGACACCCUUGGCAGGUUUUAGCUGUCUAGCGUACGUUUAACAACUAACUUAGAACUAGUAUAGAUAAGGGGAAUCUAACUAUCUAAUUAAAACAUAGUAUUAUAAUAGCUAGAAAGUAGUAUUAAUAUAAUAUAAUUUCUGCCUAGUGCUCUAAAUAUUAAAGCAAAGAGAUUUGACUAAGCGCGGGUAAACAGCAGGAGUAACUAUAACUCUCUUAAGGUAGCUAAAUACCUUAUUAUCUAAUUAGUAACGCGCAUAAAUAGAUUAACAAGAUUCCUACUAUCCCUAUCUACUAUCUAGCGAAACCACAGCUAAGGGAAUAGGCUUAGCUAAAUUAGCAGGGAAAGAAGACCCUAUUAAGCUUAACUCUAGUUUAAUAUUAUAAAAAGAUAUAGGGGGUGUAGAAUAGGUAGGAGCUUUAGCGCUAGUAAAAUACUACUACCCUUAUCGUUUUUUUACUUAUUUAAUAAAGCAGAGCUAGGCCUUACUACCUAACUUCUAGCGUUUAAGGUCCUUUGUAGGCUAAUCUAGGUUAAAGAUAUUGUUAGGUAGGGAGUUUAGCUAGGGCGGCACAUCUAUUAAACUAUAACGCAGGUGUCCUAAGGGGGACUUAUAGAGAAUAGAAAUCUCUAGUAGAGCAAAAGGGUAAAAGUCCCCUUAAUUUUGAUUUUUAGUGUGAAUACAAACUAUAAAAGUGUAGCCUAUUAAUCCUUUAGUCCCUUAAAAUUUAAGGCUAGAGGUGCUAGAAAAGUUACUACAGGGAUAACUAGCUUGUGGCAGCUAAGCGUUUAUAGCAACGUUGCUUUUUAAUCCUUUAAUAUUAGCUCUUCCUAUUAUACUAAAGUAGAAUUUAGUAAGCGUUAGAUUGUUUACCCACUAAUAGGGAACGUGAGCUAGGUUUAGACUGUUGUAAGAUAGGUUAGUUUUACCCUACUAAUAACCUUGCCCUAAUAGUAAUACCGCUUAGUACGAGAGGAACCGCAGUUUCAGAUAAUUAGUUUUUGCGGCUGUCUAACUAGGCAUUACUGCAAAGCUACUAUCUACUAGAUUAUAGCUAAACGCCUCUAAGUCAGAAUCCAUGCUAGAAUAGGGUGAUUUCCGCCUGCACUAGUUAGAUACAAAUAGGCCUUUGGCCUAGAACCUUACUAGAUUAGCGUUAGCAGCCCUAUUAAAGUUAGGGUUGUUAGCUAGUAUAUUACAAUUGUACAGUGCGCAGGAUUAAAUCCUUUGUAGAUAACUUAGUUGUCUAGCUAGGUCGUGUAAGUAGUUAAGUAGCCUUGUUGUUAUAAGCUACUAAGCGUAAGCCCGUUGCUAGCUUAGUUAAAAUUAGGAUAUUAUACCCUCCUUAUUUACAAAACUGCUGCCUAAACGGCUGCUGUUAAUAGAAGGAAGAGGGCCAUAGCAAACAAGUUAUAUAGUAAUUGCAAGAUAGAGAGGGCUAGAGCUAGGAGCAAUCCUUGCAAAAUAUACAAAAGAAUAGGUUGUGUGUGUACGUACCUUAGGCAGUUAAUAUAUAGUAUAGGAAGAUUAAGAAAGGAUUUAAGAUAAUCUAUAUAGAUUUUUAGGUGGUGAUCUAUAACUUAAGAGCGUUCUAUAACUUUUUAUUUUUUAGGGGUAGUGUUCUAUAACUCUAGGGCGUUCUAUAACUUUAGGGUGUUCUAUAACUUUAGGGCGUUCUAUAACUUUUUAUUUUUUAGGGGUAGUGUUCUAUAACUUUAGGGCGUUCUAUAACUUUUUAUUUUUUAGGGGUAGUGUUCUAUAACUUUAGGGCGUUCUAUAACUUUAGGGCGUUCUAUAACUUUAGGGCGUUCUAUAACUUUUUAUUUUUUAGGGGUAGUGUUCUAUAACUUUAGGGCUUUCUAUAACUUUAGGGCGUUCUAUAACUUUAGGGCGUUCUACAACUUUUUAUUUUUUAGGGGUAGUGUUCUAUAACUUUAGGGCGUUCUAUAACUUUAGGGCGUUCUAUAACUUUAGGGCGUUCUAUAACUUUUUAUUUUUUAGGGGUAGUGUUCUAUAACUUUAGGGUGUUCUAUAACUUUUUCUUUUUUAGAGGUAGUGUUCUAUAACUUUAGGGCGUUCUAUAACUUUUUAUUUUUUAGGGGUAGUGUUCUAUAACUCUAGGGCGUUCUAUAACUUUUUAUUUUUUAGGGUUAGUAUUUUUUUUAUUUGAAACCUCUUCAUUCUUAUGUAAAGUUACUGCGUACCCAUGNNNNNNNNNNNNNNNNNNNNNNNNNNNNNNNNNNNNNNNNNNNNNNNNNNNNNNNNNNNNNNNNNNNNNNNNNNNNNNNNNNNNNNNNNNNNNNNNNNNNNNNNNNNNNNNNNNNNNNNNNNNNNNNNNNNNNNNNNNNNNNNNNNNNNNNNNNNNNNNNNNNNNNNNNNNNNNNNNNNNNNNNNNNNNNNNNNNNNNNNNNNNNNNNNNNNNNNNNNNNNNNNNNNNNNNNNNNNNNNNNNNNNNNNNNNNNNNNNNNNNNNNNNNNNNNNNNNNNNNNNNNNNNNNNNNNNNNNNNCGGCAGUGUUCUAUAACUUAGUAGCGUUCUGUAGCAAGAGAGUUGUGUACAACAUGCUUCUUUAACAUAACGGCGUUCUAUAACUUUAGGGCGUUCUAUAACUUUAGGGCGUUCUACAACUUUUUAUUUUUUAGGGGUAGUGUUCUAUAACUUUAGGGCGUUCUAUAACUUUAGGGCGUUCUAUAACUUUAGGGCGUUCUACAACUUUUUAUUUUUUAGGGGUAGUGUUUUAUAACUUUAGGGCGUUCUAUAACUUUUUCUUUUUUAGAGGUAGUGUUCUAUAACUUUAGGGCGUUCUAUAACUUUUUCUUUUUUAGGGGUAGUGUUUUAUAACUUUAGGGCGUUCUAUAACUUUUUCUUUUUUAGAGGUAGUGUUCUAUAACUUUAGGGCGUUCUAUAACUUUUUCUUUUUUAGAGGUAGUGUUCUAUAAUAUUAGAGUGUUCUAUAACUUUUUCUUUUUUAGAGGUAGUGUUCUAUAACUUUAGGGCGUUCUAUAACUUUAGGGCGUUCUAUAACUUUAGGGCGUUCUACAACUUUUUAUUUUUUAGGUGUAGUGUUCUAUAACUUUAGGGCGUUCUAUAACUUUAGGGCGUUCUACAACUUUUUAUUUUUUAGGGGUAGUGUUCUAUAACUUUAGAGCGUUCUAUAACUUUUUCUUUUUUAGAGGUAGUGUUCUAUAACUUUAGGGCGUUCUACAACUUUUUAUUUUUAGGGGUAGCGUUCUAUAACUUUAGGGCGUUCUAUAACUUUAGGGCCUUCUAUAAGCUUAGGGCGUUCUAUAACUUUAGGGCGUUCUAUAACUUUAGGGCGUUCUAUAACUUUAGGGCGUUCUACAACUUUUUAUUUUUUAGGGUUAGUGUUCUAUAACUUUAGCGCGUUCUAUACCUUUUAUUUAUUCUAUUACUUUAGUCCUUUCUAUAACUUUAGACUAUUCUAUACUAGUAGCUAUUAUAUCCUUUUUAUAAUACUUAUUAUAUCAUACUAUUAUCUAUUAUUCUUUACUGUUAAGUAUAUCCUUAUAUUUUAUAAAACCUUUUCUCUACUAGCUAGUCCUACUAUACUUUCUUUUAUAACCUACUAGUAUUAAAUAAUACCUUUAUAUUCUUCUUUUAUACUAUCUCUAUUUCUUGCCUUAUCUAUUAAGUAGAUAUAGAUAGAGCUAAUAGAUCUAUAGUUAAUAUAGAUACAGUAGUUAUAGUAGAGUACAGAUAUUAGAGUAGAUAUCCUUAUCUAUAUAUUUACCUACUACUAAUAAAAUUCUAAGUUACUCUUAUCUAGCGAAUACGGGUUUAUGGUUUGU